AAAGGUAAAAUAUACACGUGUACAUUCGUAUUGGUGAGUGUCCAUGUGUGUACGAAAGCGCAUGUGUCUAUGCUAUGUUUUGCAUAAGGAGGAACGAAUCUAAAAAGUCAUGACCUAUUAGAUCAUGAAAAGGCAAAAAAGUAUAUAUGUGAUAGUAUCACUGCACAAACAGUACCCAUAAGAAGAUGAGACCGUGUUGUUGAUUCGGAUGGCAACAACUUUAGUCUCUCCGUACCAUUUCCGCUAUCCCAAACUUUCUUUGUU
rnacentral:lncRNA from 1 species